GUCAAAGAUUGCCACAGCCGUGAAGGACAGCCUGGCAUCCGAAUGUUCCGUUUUCCCGGCCAGCCGUGGGAGAAAGAACGGCGGAGAAAAUGGAUUGUUGCCGUUCGGCGAGUGAAUGAGUGUGACGGCUCUGCUUGGAUCCCAAGUGAUGCAGCAAGGGUGUGCUCAAAGCACUUCGUCAACGGCGAAAAGAGCAACAUUGCUGCACAUCCAGGCUACUACCCUACCAUUUUUCCAGAUGCAUACAAGUCCCGUCCUGUGGACGCAGAAAGAGCACUGUCAAGAUAUGAACGAUGGAACAGAAGGGCAUCUGCUGCAAGGCCGGCAAAUCCUCAACACACAAG